ensembl:lncRNA
AUGAAUAAUAUUCUUAUUCAUUCUAUUAUUCAUAAUAUAAUGAAUAAUAUUCUUAGUCAUUCUAUUUUUGUACCCAUUAACCAUCCCCACUCCCCCGCCCCCACUACUCUUCCCAACUUCUGGUACCCAUCGUUGUACUCUCCAUCUUCUGGGGUUCUCAGUUUUAAUUUUUUUUUUUUUGAGACAGAGUCUUAUUCUGUUGCCCAGUGCAGUGGCACAAUCUCGGCUCACUGCAACCUCCACCUCCCGGGUUCAAGGGAUUCUCCUGCCUCAACCUCCCAAAUAGCUGGGACUACAGCUUUAACUUUUGUCCAUCUUCGUAAGACUGAAGUUCUUGGUCAACUGGAUCAACAGAUAAUUCUCCGCUGGCUGUGAUCUCUUUGGAUUUUUGUUGUGUUAUCUUUAUAUAUUAAUAUAUACAGGGUCUCACUCUGUCACUCAGGCUGCACAAUCUUGACUCACUGCAGCCUCGACCUCCUGGGUUCAAGCGAUCCUCCCACCUCAGCCUCCCAAGCAGCUGAGACCACAGGUGUGCACCACCACGCCUGGCUAAUUUUUGCACCUUUUGUAGAGAUAGGGUUUCACCAUGUUGCCCAGGUUUGUCAUUUUUGACCUCGGAUAAUUUUCUUCAUUUCUUGCCACCUCAGGUACACAUUUAAAAAGACAGUUUACAAUAUUUUGUUGGUGUUUUGUAUUAGGAGAGUUUUUCAUCAUAUGCUGUCUUCCAUAUUGUCAGAAAUGUAGUCUAGCCAUCCUUCCUGGCCCAUUUCAAACGGGUUUCUCUUAGGACCAGGAGACUUCACAUGAUGUGUGUCCUACCCUGGCCUGUGGCUUAGUCACUUGUGUAUGUGAAAUCCAUGCUCCUUGAGGGCAGGAAUAUGGUUUCCUCUUUUUCCCUUCCACAGAGUCUAGUCCAGAGUUCCAACACCAAGUCUCUGUAAAUGAAUGAAAUUGCAUAUGGGAACUUGAGGCACCCAUGCAAACCUGUGCUGCCAGCGACUUCCACCAGAGGGCAGCGGCAGCAGAUGCCAGCGCUGGGGCAGGACUGGGCGGGGUCUCAAUCUGAUGGGCGGGGGGUGGGGGGGGGGGUUGGCUGGCUCCGUGUGGCUCCAAUACCUGCUGAAUCAAAUGCCUACACCCACCUUUAAGACCAAGCCCAAUGGAGGAAGACUCCUCCCUAUUCCACAUGUGGGGGAAAUGAAGACAAGCAAGGAUGCAGGAAGUGGAAGGCCAGGGGAGCUGGACCUGCUAUGGGGCCAACUGGGGCAGGACCAGGAUUUGGAACCAAACCCCUUCUGGACUUGACCACUUCCCAGAGUCCUGCUUGGACAACCAAAUUAUCUAUUCCUAUGUUCAUUCAAGAACAUUAUUCAGCAUCUACCAAAUGCUCCACAGGGAGUACCGUGGUGAAUUAAGCAUACUUGGUCCCUGCCUUCUUCCCAUCACAUCAGUCUGCUGCAGUGCAAUGGGACAACUCGGGGUUUCUCAGGCAGCCCUGGGCUUCCUUCAGCCCUUCGCUCCUGCUGUUCCUCCUGGCCCAGAGGCCUCCCAUCACUGCUGCUUGUCAAAAUCCUGCUCAGCCUUGUAGGCCCAGCUCCCACGCCUGACUCCCGCAGAGGUAUGCCCAGUCUGGUACCUGGAGAUGGGAUCACUGGCCCCACUGUGUCAUCUCAGGGGUGGCUCCCACAGGGCCUUGGCUCCCUUCUCUGUAGAAGGACUUGUGGGAUGGUCAUCUCUCAGGCCCUUCCCAAUUAUGUUUCUCAGAGGAGAGACUAAGGGCAUCAGAACUACACCCUCCUUCCCCGCCACCACUGUGCCUAAGGUUAAGGUAAAACUCAGGAUUUCAGCCAUGAGAGCCAAAUUCCUUGGACUGGGACAGGCCAGGGGUCAUUCACUCCCUCUUCCAAUAUGUAUUGAUUGAUCAGCUAGUACGUUAUCAAUUCUUCCUUU